CCCGCUGAACUUAAGCAUAUCAAUAAGCGGAGGAAAAGAAACCAACAGGGAUUGCUCUAGUAACGGCGAGUGAACAAGCAAAAGCUCAGUUUUGAAAGCCUGCUUGCAGGCAUUGUAUUCUGAAGCCUAGAUUCUGGGAAACGGUACUUAAGUCUUCUGGAAAGGAGCGCCACGGAGGGUGAUAGCCCCGUACGGUACUGACCCCAUUGUAGUUUCUAGGCGUGGAGUCGAGUUGUUUGGGAAUGCAGCUCAAAUGGGAGGUAUGCUCCUUCUAAAGCUAAAUAUUUGCGAGAGACCGAUAGCGAACAAGUACUGUGAAGGAAAGAUGAAAAGAACUUUGAAAAGAGAGUGAAAUAGGACGUGAAAUUGUUGAAAUGGAAGGGUAGGCCGCUAACCAUGUAGGACCGUGUUUGAGGGGAAGAUAAAAGCUUCGGAAUGUAGCUCCUCGGAGUGUUAUAGCCGGAGUCAAUGUUCCCACUCGAGCGCGAGGUUCUCAGGUUCUACUAAAUGGUGGUCUACCACCCGUCUUGAAACACGGACCAAGGAGUCUAUUGCCUGCGCGAGUAUUUGGGUGUCAAACCCAUAUGCGAAGUGAAAGCGAGUGGUUCGAACUUUUUGUUCAGAAUCGGCCGACCGUUUAUAGAAACGGAUUGAGUUGAGCGUAAGUGAUGGGACCCGAAAGAUGGUGAACUAUGCCUGAAUAGGGUGAAGCCAGAGGAAACUCUGGUGGAGGCUCGCAGCGGUUCUGACGUGCAAAUCGAUCGUCAAAUUUGGGUAUAGGGGCGAAAGACUAAUCGAACCAUCUAGUAGCUGGUUCCUGCCGAAGUUUCCCUCAGGAUAGCAGAAGCUCGUAUCAGUUUUAUGGGGUAAAGCGAAUGAUUAGAGGUAUUGGGAUUGAAACGAUCUUGACCUAUUCUCAAACUUUGAAUAUGUAAAACGUCCUUGUUACUUAGUUGAACUUGGACUCUUGAAUGAAGAGCUUUUAGUGGGCCAUUUUUGGUAAGCAGAACUGGCGAUGCGGGAUGAACCGAACGUGAAGUUAAGGUGCCGGAGUGUACGCUCAUCAGACACCACAAAAGGUGUUAGUUCAUCUAGACAGCCGGACGGUGGCCAUGGAAGUCGGAAUCCGCUAAGGAGUGUGUAACAACUCACCGGCCGAAUGAACUAGCCCUGAAAAUGGAUGGCGCUCAAGCGUACCACCUAUACUUCACCCACAGCCGUGACUAUCGGUUGUGGAGUAGGCAGGCGUGGAGGUUGUGUAGAAGCUUAGGGCGUGAGCCUGAGUCGAACGGCCUCUAGUGCAGAUCUUGGUGGUAGUAGCAAAUAUUCAAAUGAGAACUUUGAAGACUGAAGUGGAGAAAGGUUCCGUUGGAACAGCAGUUGGCAACGGGUUAGUCGAUCCUAACUGGUACCUUAACGGGAGUAAUAGUUCAAUUUUUUGAGCGUCCAGGAAAGGGAAUCCGGUUAAUAUUCCGGAACUUGGGUAUGGACCCACGGCAACGUAACUGAAUGUGGAGACACUGGCACGAUCCCCGGGAGGAGUUAUCUUUUCUUUUUAACGGCGGACAGACCCUGAAAUUGGAUUGACCAGCGCUAGGGUGUGUACGUCGGAUGAGCCCCACGCUUCUGUGGGGUCCGGUGCGCUCGUGACGGUCCUUGAAAAUCCGCAGGAAGGACGUUUCAUACCAAGUCGUACUGAUAACCGCAGCAGGUCUCCAAGGUUAACAGCCUCUAGUU
rfam:Lucilia cuprina strain LS Scaffold659, whole genome shotgun sequence.